rnacentral:rRNA from 1 species
UACGUAGGGUGCAAGCGUUACUCGGAAUUACUGGGCGUAAAGCGUGCGCAGGCGGUUCGCUAAGACAGAUGUGAAAUCCCCGGGCUUAACCUGGGAACUGCAUUUGUGACUGGCGGGCUAGAGUAUGGCAGAGGGGGGUAGAAUUCCACGUGUAGCAGUGAAAUGCGUAGAGAUGUGGAGGAAUACCGAUGGCGAAGGCAGCCCCCUGGGCCAAUACUGGCGCUCAUGCACGAAAGCGUGGGGAGCAAACAGG